UACGAAGGGGGCUAGCGUUGUUCGGAAUUACUGGGCGUAAAGCGCACGUAGGCGGAUACUUAAGUCAGGGGUGAAAUCCCGGGGCUCAACCCCGGAACUGCCUUUGAUACUGGGUAUCUCGAGUCCGGAAGAGGUGAGUGGAAUUCCGAGUGUAGAGGUGAAAUUCGUAGAUAUUCGGAGGAACACCAGUGGCGAAGGCGGCUCACUGGUCCGGUACUGACGCUGAGGCACGAAAGCGUGGGGAUCAAACAGG
rnacentral:rRNA from 1 species